AAUAUAAAUGUUAGUUGAUUCAUAAUAAAUGUUUAUUUAUGAAUUUUAAUUUACCUAUUGUUUUUUUUUUGUACAAACAUAACAAAUUGUGUGACAGCCUGUCCCGAAACAUUUAUCACAAGUGUGAAAAGAUGAAAUUGCCCUUGGACGUUUUGUGUGGUUGUGUGGUUUUGUUUGUUGUGAUUGGAUGCCCAAAUUUGGACCACACACUCACACCUUUUCUUUCACUCCUGUUGACUCUCUCUCUCCUCCCUCUCGAAUUUUUCUGCAUUUCCGUACAAAUUGUACGGACAUCAUCCAAAUCAGCCAUUUUUCUUCAUGGAUCGAGGUUUUUUAAUGUCAUAUUCGUAUUCCUUGUAACCAUACGAUCUCAUCUAUACCAUUUUUAGGACGUGAAGCCGUCGGAAAACCCUAGAACCAUAACCUCCGAUUUGAGGUAUUGUUCAUGCACACGUAAAUGUGAAGUUUUUGGAAGAUUCUAAGCUUAUAGGAAGCUUUAGAACACUCUCACGAAGCUUGGAGAAGAAAAACGAGGUGUUUUGGACGUCAGGAAGUCAAGUUGGCGAAUUUGAAAUUUUAGCCGGAUUAUCGAGGGUUCUCUGGUGAGAUCCCGUGGAUUUUAGGGCUUGAAAUUGUUUCCGGGGACGGCAGUUAGUGGUUCACCGGAGAAGAAAAGAGAAUAUUCUAUCAAAGUUGACAAAAUAUUCCUAAAGGUAGCUAACGGCGUCAGGUUAUUUUUAACGGAAUAUUAUUUACGACGUUAACUUUUCCGUUAGGCAUGCCAGGCACGUGGCCGCAGGUGGGGGUGCGUCUGGCCGUGCCUUGGCCGACACGUGGGUGAUCGGAAAUUUUUUCUAAAAAUAUGGGGAUGUUCCUGAGGUUGUGUAUAUUCAAACACCCUAUUUGAGCAUUGUAUGAGAAAUUAUUACCUAGUUUUGUUUAUGUGCAUUAAAUUGACGUUUAUAUAGUUGUUUCUCAUAUAGGUGAGACCUAUCCUAAGGACGAGCGUAAUCAAUCGAGGCUCGGGGGCUAUGACCCUUCGACAUAUCAAUGAGUGGGCUUUUGGUUUUCAGUAUAUAUUUAUAUACUUUAUUUUUCCCAGAAAAUCAUUUUUAAAUGAAGGUGUGUUUUGAAGUA